CCUACGGGGUGCAGCAGUGAGGAAUAUUGGUCAAUGGACGAGAGUCUGAACCAGCCACGUAGCGUGAAGGAUGACUGCCCUAUGGGUUGUAAACUUCUUUUAUAUGGGAAUAAAAUGUUCCACGUGUGGGAUUUUGUAUGUACCAUAUGAAUAAGGGUCGACUAACUCCGUGCCAGCAGCCGCGGUAAUACGGAGGAUCCGAGCGUUAUCCGGAUUUAUUGGGUUUAAAGGGAGCGUAGGUGGAUUGUUAAGUCAGUUGUGAAAGUUUGCGGCUCAACCGUAAAAUUGCAGUUGAAACUGGCAGUCUUGAGUACAGUAGAGGUGGGCGGAAGUCGUGGUGUAGCGGUGAAAUGCUUAGAUAUAACGAAGAACUCCGAUUGCGAAGGCAGUUCACUGGACUGCAACUGACACUGAGGCUCGAAAGUGUGGGUAUCAAACAGGAUUAGAUACCCUGGUAGUC
rnacentral:rRNA from 1 species